rnacentral:rRNA from 1 species
CCUACGGGAGGCAGCAGUGAGGAAUAUUGGUCAAUGGGCGCGAGCCUGAACCAGCCAAGUCGCGUGAAGGAUGACGGCCCUACGGGUUGUAAACUUCUUUUGCCGGGGAGCAAUUCAGUCCACGUGUGGUCUUGCGGAGAGUACCUGAAGAAAAAGCAUCGGCUAACUCCGUGCCAGCAGCCGCGGUAAUACGGAGGAUGCGAGCGUUAUCCGGAUUUAUUGGGUUUAAAGGGUGCGCAGGCGGAAUAUCAAGUCAGCGGUAAAAAUUCGGGGCUCAACCCCGUCGUGCCGUUGAAACUGAUGGUCUUGAGUGGGCGAGAAGUAUGCGGAAUGCGUGGUGUAGCGGUGAAAUGCAUAGAUAUCACGCAGAACUCCGAUUGCGAAGGCAGCAUACCGGCGCCCAACUGACGCUGAAGCACGAAAGCGUGGGGAUCGAACAGGAUUAGAUACCCCAGUAGUC